rnacentral:rRNA from 1 species
AUUGAACGCUGGCGGCAGGCCUAACACAUGCAAGUCGAGCGAGCGGCGGACGGGUGAGUAAUGUAUGGGGACUGCCCGAUAGAGGGGGAUCACUACUGGAAACGGUGGCUAAUACCGCAUACUAUCGGAUAACCCAUAUGGGAUGAGCUAGUAGGUGGGGUAAAGGCUCACCUAGGCGAUGGUCUCUAGCUGGUCCGAGAGGAUGAUCAGCCACACUGGGACCGUGACACGGCCCCGACGCCUACGGAGGCAGCAGUGGGAAAUAUUGCACAAUGGGCGCAAGCCUGAUGCAGCCAGGCCGCGUGGAUGAAGAGGGCCUUAGGGUUGUAAAGUACUUUCAGCGGGGAGGCGUUACCCGCAGAAGAAGCACCGGCUAACGCCGUGCCAGCAGCCGCGGUAAUAC